rnacentral:rRNA from 1 species
UACGAAGGGGGCUAGCGUUGUUCGGAAUCACUGGGCGUAAAGGGCGCGUAGGCGGCUUUGUAAGUCGGGGGUGAAAGCCUGUGGCUCAACCACAGAAUUGCCUUCGAUACUGCGAGGCUUGAGACCGGAAGAGGUUAGUGGAACUGCGAGUGUAGAGGUGAAAUUCGUAGAUAUUUGCAAGAACACCAGUGGCGAAGGCGGCUGACUGGUCCGGAUCUGACGCUGAGGCGCGAAAGCGUGGGGAGCAAACAGG